rnacentral:rRNA from 1 species
GACGAACGCUGGCGGCGUGCCUAAUACAUGCAAGUCGAACGCAGUGGGGACGGGUGAUUAACACGUGGGUAACCUCCCAUCAGAGGGGAUAACACUUGGAAACAGGUGCUAAACAGAUACUGAAUGAGCGACCCGCGGUGCAUUAGCUAGUCGGUGAGGUAACGGCUCACCAACGCCACGAUGCAUAGCCGACCUGAGAGGGGGAUCGGCCACACUGGGACUGAGACACGGCCCAGACUCCUACGGGAGGCAGCAGUAGGGAAUCUUCGGCAAUGGACGAAAGUCUGACCGAGCAACGCCGCGUGAGUGAAGAAGGUUUUCGGAUCGUAAAACUCUGUUGUUAGAGAAGCGGUAUCUAACCAGAAAGCCACGGCUAACUACGUGCCAGCAGCCGCGGUAAUAC